rnacentral:rRNA from 1 species
AUUGAACGCUGGCGACAGGCCUAACACAUGCAAGUCGAACGAGUGGCGGACGGGAGAGUAAUGUAUGGGAAACUGCCCGAUGGAGGGGGAUAACUACUGGAAACGGUAGCUAAUACCGCAUACCAUCGGAUGUGCCCAGAUGUGAUUAGCUAGUAGGUGGGGUAAAGGCACACCUAGGCGACGAUCACUAGCUGGUCUGAGAGGAUGACCAGCCACCUUGGAACUGAGACACGGUCCAGUCUCCUACGGGAGGCAGCAGUGGGGAAUAUUGGACAAGGUGGGCAAGCCUGAUGCAGCCAUGCGGCGUGUAUGAAGAAGGCUUUCGGGUUGUAAAGUACUUUCAGCGGGGAGGCGUUACCCGCAGAAGAAGCACCGGCUAACUCCGUGCCAGCAGCCGCGGUAAUAC